CAGAUUAGCCCUGGAUAAAGGAAGAGGCAAAAUAAAGAUCUUCAGCUUCCCUCAGCACCAAAGUAAAAAUUGUUACUGGGAAGAUCCACCGGCAGUCAGCACCACCUCUGUGCAGCCCUUUCAGGGCUGUAUCCAUUACAAGCAAAGCCCCAGGGGUCAGAUCCAGCCUCCUCUAUGCUCCCCAGCAAGGUUUGGAAAGGAGAACUGGGUUAUGGUGAACCUGGAACUCCUCAAGACAUCAGAGGACUUUAAAGCAUACAUCCAGCACUUCCAGAUGGGAAGGUCUAAUGCCCGGUUUCUGAGAUAUCUUACAGAUACCAUCCAAGUCCUCAGAGAUCAUUCUGCACACUGCAAAAGCAAUGUCCAAUAGAGCAUGACUGGCAGGUUGUAUUAAAAAGAAAAAUGAAUAUGAAGUCAACAGUGGGGAUGAGAAUCUGACUAUGACAUCAAUGUGUGUGGAGCUUAUACAAUGCCUGCACCACUCCUGGCUCCUGUCUGCCCCUGACCAUGAUAUUCAUUACGUCUGUUCAUAUGAAACAUUGUGCUUGGUUUACAAAGGGUAAUGAAUUCUCAUUAAACCUCAGCCUGGUGUUCCUUCCCCUCCCUCUUGCUAGAACAGUAUACAGACUUGAAGCACCAGAAAUACAUUGGUCACUCUGAUACCAAGAUGAAAAACCAUUUUCCAAAAUAGGAGGAGGAUGCUGGAAACACAAGCAAAACCUAUCAGCUACAACACAGCAAAGAUGACAGCGUAAGUGACAUGGCUCCAGAGGACACAGACAUCAUGAGGCAGCUGCCCUGAACCUCUGUAUCAAAGUGGGCUGAGAGGAGCUGAUUGGGAAAAUGAAAAUGCCUUGUGACUUGGCAGUUGCACUUCAUAACUCUAUGUAUGCUCCAGAGUGCCUGCUCAUUUGCCAAAAAUCCAUCUAAGAAAAAAAAAAAAAAAAAGACCACAAUGGCUAUUUUCUAUUCACGAUGAUCUGUCCUCUGACGGGUAUCUGUUGUGGGAAGAGGGACGGCUGAUGGACUGUGAGGGCCAUGUAAGGAACGAAUUGUGCAAACAGUACAUGUGGGAAAGGACAAAGGGAAACUGUGCUGUGAGCUUGGGGACGCACCAGUCCCUGCCCAUCCUGCAUCAAAAGCAGCAGAGGCUUUGUUCAUACAGAAGUGAAUCAUUUGCAUAAUCUCAUGUUAAAUUAAGCAUGAACAUAACUUCAAGCACGUAAGAUGUUAGUGUAAUGUCUAUACUUGUAAUGAGUGGGGUUGUAAUGAGUUUAGGAGACAGCAAUAAUUUUUCAGGUGAAUUUAUUUUUUUACCUGUCGUAUUUCCUCUGUUUGAACAUUUUGCCAAGCCAAGUUCUGAGGGUGUCUGGUGCUGCUCUUUGAUGAUGUGUGGGUUACUGCAUUAUUUUAAAGACCAGUGACAUUAAAAGGAAAAUGUCUGCAUUAUGCAGAAGAACAUGGUAGCUCUUUGGGGGAAAUUCCUGUAGAAUUUGGAAUCCUUUUGCCUUGCCAUGUAGUGAUCUGCACUCCAGUUAAGAAGCAACUGACUAGACACGUGAUCAUAUCAUUUUAAAUUGCAUUUUUGUUUUUUUUUUUUUUUCCUUUUCAUUAAAAAUCUUCUAU